UUAAACUAAAUUAUUUGCAAUUCUAGCCUUCAGUAUUUAUCUUGUGGCCAACGUGAAGAAUCUAUUUCACUUCAUGUGUGCUGUGUCCAGACUGACAUGCAUAAAGAUUUAAGAAUAAUAUGAGCUAUUCACUAUAGCAAAAUAUUCCUCCAUUCUCAUAUACAACUAUUCAGAAAACUCUUAAUUCCUAAUUCACGAGUCACUUCUGUAGUCCCUAGAAUCCCUGGGCUAAUUUUUAUAGCCACAAACAUGAACAGGAAAAGAAGAAUAAAAUGGACACUUGGCACCACUUAGAAGAAUCUAUGAGAGAGAAGGUUGGCAUGGCAGGAAAGUUCUUAGGCUACAGGACAGGGAAGCCUUUGCCAAGGGCCUGCAUGUUACUUGUGCCUGUCUUCCUUGUUUGGGCCUAAUGCUGCAGCUACAGUGGAUUGAAA
rnacentral:lncRNA from 1 species